CCAUCCAUCGCUACUACCGGUUGAAUGAUUUAAAGAGGUCUUCAAAUUGGCUCUCGAAGCGUUUGGGGUCACGUCAUCGUGCCGGAAAGAUGACCAAACUUGAUCAUUAAGAGGAAGCAAAAGUCAUAAUAAGCUUUUCGUAGGUGAACCUGCGGAAG
rnacentral:ncRNA from 1 species